UGCCGUCUUUUUCUCAGCUGGUAGAGCAGGAGACUCUUAAUCUCAGGGUUGUGGGUUCGAGUUCCACAUUGGUCA